rnacentral:rRNA from 1 species
GAUGAACGCUGGCGGCGUGCCUAAUGCAUGCAAGUCGAACGCUGGAGCUCUAGCUUGCUAGCUCGAAGGAGUGGCGAACGGGUGAGUAAUACAUAAGCAACCUACCCACGAAGACUGGGAUAAUCUCUGGAAACGGGGACUAAUACCGGGAAGGUAAUCGGAAGGCAUCUUCUGGUUAUUAAAGGUUAAAAACACUGUUGGUUGGGCUUAUGGCGCAUUAGUUAGUUGGUGAGGUAACGGCCCACCAAGACGAUGAUGCGUAGCCGGCCUGAGCGGGUGAACGGCCACAUUGGGACUGGGACAAGGCCCAGACGCCUACGGGAGGCAGCAGUAGGGAAUCUGCGGGCAUGGGGGCAACCCUGAACGAGCAACGCAGCGAGAGUGAAGACGGGCUUCUGGUUGUAAAGCUCUGUUGAAAGGGAAGAACGGUAGAUAGAGAAUAUCUAAGUGACGGUACCUUACCAGAAAGCAACGGCUAACUACGU